rnacentral:rRNA from 1 species
UGGGGAAUUUUGGACAAUGGGCGAAAGCCUGAUCCAGCAAUGCCGCGUGUGUGAAGAAGGCCUUCGGGUUGUAAAGCACUUUUGUCCGGAAAGAAAUCCUUGGCUCUAAUACAGUCGGGGGAUGACGGUACCGGAAGAAUAAGCACCGGCUAACUACGUGCCAGCAGCCGCGGUAAUACGUAGGGUGCAAGCGUUAAUCGGAAUUACUGGGCGUAAAGCGUGCGCAGGCGGUUUGCUAAGACCGAUGUGAAAUCCCCGGGCUCAACCUGGGAACUGCAUUGGUGACUGGCAGGCUAGAGUAUGGCAGAGGGGGGUAGAAUUCCACGUGUAGCAGUGAAAUGCGUAGAGAUGUGGAGGAAUACCGAUGGCGAAGGCAGCCCCCUGGGCCAAUACUGACGCUCAUGCACGAAAGCGUGGGGAGCAAACAGGAUUAGAUACCCUGGUAGUCCACGCCCUAAAACGAUGUCAACUAGUUGUUGGGGAUUCAUUUCCUUAGUAACGUAGCUAACGCGUGAAGUUGACCGCCUGUGG